rnacentral:rRNA from 1 species
UACGUAGGGUGCAAGCGUUGUCCGGAAUUAUUGGGCGUAAAGGGCUCGUAGGCGGUCCAUCGCGUCGGGAGUGAAAAGCUGGGGCUUAACCCCAGUCCUGCUUCCGAUACGGGUGGACUAGAGGUAGGCAGGGGAGAACGGAAUUCCUGGUGUAGCGGUGAAAUGCGCAGAUAUCAGGAGGAACACCGGUGGCGAAGGCGGUUCUCUGGGCCUUACCUGACGCUGGAGGAGCGAAAGCUGGGGGAGCGAAUGGG